AAUUUCUUUACCAUCGAAGUUUCGGAGAGCAUCUUCUAAGUACUCACAAUUUAAAAACCCUCCUGUGGCAUAAUAAUAUAAUCAAAACAAUUUAAAGCCCCACAGAAGACAAAAGAAAACAAAUGAAAAAAAAAAAAAUUUGCUGCAAACUCUCCGCUAGAAGGCCUUUCAUCGAGGAAUACAUUUUCGGAGAGCAUCUUCUAAGUACUCACAAUUUAAAAACCCUCCUGUGGCAUAAUAAUAUAAUCAAAACAAUUUAAAGCCCCACAGAAGACAAAAGAAAACAAAUGAAAAAAAAAAAAAAAAAUUUGCUGCAAACUCUCCGCUAGAAGGCCUUUCAUCGAGGA